GUAAAAGGCUAAUCGCUGAGAAAUUAUUUUCUUAGAGGAAAGUCCAUGCUUGCAUAAGCUGCGAUGCUUAUAAAUGUUUAUGUAGUCUGUAAAAAAUCAAGGACUAGCACAUUAAUUUGUGACGACGAAGAAGAUCUAAAAUAUUAAAAGAUAUCAUGAUUGUAUUCAUAAAGUGCCACAGUGACGAAAUUCUUAGAAAUAAGAAAGUGAAACGUUGGUAAACUCCAUAAGCAAGAAACCUAAAUUAUGGUAAGGGAAUUAGAAGAAUAGAAUUGAAUAUUCAACUGAACAACUUUAAUAGUUGUAGAUAAAUGAUUAGCAUUAUUGUUUUUCAAUAAUACAGAACAUGGCUUAUUUUU
rnacentral:RNase_P_RNA from 1 species